AGAGUUUGAUCCUGGCUCAGAUUGAACGCUGGCGGCAUGCUUUACACAUGCAGGUCGAACGGUAACAGGGUGCUUGCACCGCUGACGAGUGGCGAACGGGUGAGUAAUGCAUCGGAAUGUACCGUGUAAUGGGGGAUAGCUCGGCGAAAGCCGGAUUAAUACCGCAUACGCCCUGAGGGGGAAAGUGGGGGACCGUAAGGCCUCACGUUAUACGAGCAGCCGAUGUCUGAUUAGCUAGUUGGUGGGGUAAAGGCUCACCAAGGCUUCGAUCAGUAGCGGGUCUGAGAGGAUGAUCCGCCACACUGGGACUGAGACACGGCCCAGACUCCUACGGGAGGCAGCAGUGGGGAAUUUUGGACAAUGGGCGCAAGCCUGAUCCAGCCAUGCCGCGUGUCUGAAGAAGGCCUUCGGGUUGUAAAGGACUUUUGUCCGGGAGCAAAUCCCAGUGGUUAAUACCUACUGGGGCUGAGAGUACC
rnacentral:rRNA from 1 species